rnacentral:sRNA from 1 species
AAGAUCGUUGAAAAAUGUGUUAAUUUGC